rnacentral:rRNA from 1 species
GACGAACGCUGGCGGCGUGCUUAACACAUGCAAGUCGAACGAAGUGGCGAACGGGUGAGUAAUACGUGAGUAACCUGCCCUCCUUUUUGGGAUAAGCCUUGGAAACGGGGUCUAAUACCGGAUAAAGGGGGAUGGGCUCGCGGCCUAUCAGCUUGUUGGGGGGGUGAUGGCCUACCAAGGCGGUGACGGGUAGCCGGCCUGAGAGGGUGACCGGCCACAUUGGGACUGGUCUACUGCCCAGACUCCUACGGGAGGCAGCAGUGGGGUAUAUUGCACAAUGGGCGAAAGCCUGAUGCAGCAACGCCGCGGGAGUGAAGAAGGUUUUCGGAUCGUAAAGCUCUGUUGUUAAGGAAGCGGUACUUAACCAGAAAGUGACGGCUAACUACGUGCCAGCAGCCGCGGUAAUUC